rnacentral:rRNA from 1 species
UACGGGGGGGGCAAGCGUUGUUCGGAAUUACUGGGCGUAAAGGGCUCGUAGGCGGCCAACUAAGUCCGACGUGAAAUCCCAAGGCUUAACCUUGGAACUGCGUCGGAUACUGGAUGGCUUGAAUUCGGGAGAGGGAUGCGGAAUUCCAGGUGUAGCGGUGAAAUGCGUAGAUAUCUGGAGGAAUACCGGUGGCGAAGGCGGCAUCCUGGACCGACAUUGACGCUGAUGAGCGAAAGCUAGGGGAGCAAACGGG